GCAGGAGUUCGAUUCUCGAGCCGUUUUCCAUGUGAGUCCCGGAGCCACCAGACGUCCUCGUAUUGCCAGCUGAAGCAGGUGUGCGUGGAGUUGGAUCCUCGAGCCAGUGUCCCGUGUUAGUCCCGGCGCCGCCAGACCAUCGAGAAACGAUAGUUCACUGACCUGCAGCGGACCAGUUACCGCCACCCCCCCUCCCGGUCGUCCAGGCCCAUUCCACGAAAAGCGGAACCUACAAUGACGCCUCAACCGGCUAACACUCGGCGCUGCCUCAAAUUCCUUCACCGACUAUCAGCCGUCCCUCAAGCAACAAGGCGAUGGUGAGAAGCUCCAGCCGCAAUGGACGCCGCUGUCAUCCAGGGGUGCCGGUUCGAUAUCGGGGCCAAAGGAACGCGAUUGGCGGGAGUCUGGUUCUUGCCCGGGCACCAGGUCGAGUCCCGUGAAAAGGUUGGGUCCCGGCUAAAGACCCGGCAAGGCGGCGCGAAUGCAGCGAAAGACGGCAGCUUAGACGGCCACUGUUUCGGGGAUUCCUCGCCACCGCCGCUGCUCGCAGGAGGACGUGUCCCUGAAGAGUAGAACACUGGCGAACAUGACUGCCUCAGUGGUGUAGAAAGCGAGGACGACGAGGGUGUGCCGGCCACCGACGCCUGAGGACGGAGUGGCACUGUGAUGGAGGUUGAACCUGUGCAGUUAUUCUCAAGUGCGUUCGAUGAGAUGGUGAAGUCAGCUUCGGCAUCGGUACAGACGAUAGCAUCGACCUGCGUCGUAUUGAGCGAUCCUGGCCAGCAGUCCGGAGACGACUCGUCUUCUUCGUGAAGACGAUUCUGCUGGUUUCAUGCUCUGGACCGCUACGACACGCCACUCGAGUUACACAAAGGAGCUUAUUAGAACUUUAAGUUAAUUUUUAUCUGGACACUCUGGGUUUCCAUAUCCUUUGUUACCGCACCGUUUCAAAGAGAUGCCAAUAAAUCAUGAUCUAUUUGAGGUGGAGGCCUUAGGGGAGGAACGUUCUAGAACACGUGGUAAGUAUACUUAUGCUUGGUCUUAACCCUCAUUAGUCGGGAAAGCCUCGCGAAAGUUUCUGUGGCACCCAAAGACGGCGGAGAUGGGGUGUCCGACUGUAGCCACAGGGCUCUUUUCAAGUGAGCGUAAAUAACUCCUGUCCUCUCUUUCCCUUCCUCAUCCCGCUCCCCAGGAAUAGAGUAACAAACGAGACUAAGUCCAAAUGACUUACCUGCGUUUCCUUCUUUUCUGUAUCGAAAGUAAUCUGCAGAGCAGGUAAUAA